AAUAGAUACCCGGGUAGUCCACGCUGUAAACGAUGAGUGCUAAGUGUUAGAGGGUUUCCGCCCUUUAGUGCUGCAGCUAACGCAUUAAGCACUCCGCCUGGGGAGUACGGUCGCAAGACUGAAACUCAAAGGAAUUGACGGGGGCCCGCACAAGCGGUGGAGCAUGUGGUUUAAUUCGAAGCAACGCGAAGAACCUUACCAGGUCUUGACAUCCCACUGACCGGUAUAGAGAUAUACCUUUCCCUUCGGGGACAGUGGUGACAGGUGGUGCAUGGUUGUCGUCAGCUCGUGUCGUGAGAUGUUGGGUUAAGUCCCGCAACGAGCGCAACCCUUGAUCUUAGUUGCCAGCAUUUAGUUGGGCACUCUAAGGUGACUGCCGGUGACAAACCGGAGGAAGGUGGGGAUGACGUCAAAUCAUCAUGCCCCUUAUGACCUGGGCUACACACGUGCUACAAUGGAUGGUACAAAGGGCUGCAAGACUGCGAAGUCAAGCCGAUCCCAUAAAACCAUUCUCAGUUCGGAUUGCAGG
rnacentral:rRNA from 1 species